CCAGGGACUGGCAGAUGGAAGGCCCAUCUCGGUCUCAUUGCUUUAUUGCAGAUCUUUGGUGACUAUUACCACUUCAGGCAUAGAGCAGUGACAAAGCGGUCCUUGUCACCUCACCGCCAGCGACACAUCCGGCUACAGAGGGAGCCUCAAGUAAAGUGGCUGGAGCAGCAGGUAGCAAAACGGAGGACCAAGCGGGACGUGUAUCAGGAGCCCACAGACCCCAAGUUUCCCCAGCAGUGGUACCUGUCUGGUGUCACUCAGCGAGACCUGAAUGUGAAGGAAGCCUGGGCCCAGGGCUUCACAGGUCACGGCAUUGUGGUCUCCAUCCUGGACGACGGCAUUGAGAAGAACCAUCCCGACUUGGCAGGCAAUUAUGAUCCUGGAGCCAGUUUUGAUGUCAAUGACCAGGACCCUGACCCUCAGCCUCGGUAUACACAGAUGAA